AGAAAUAUUUGUAUAUGGCUGUCCGGGCAUGUUGAUGUGGUGAGACAAUCGAAUGGUGCUAUGUCGUAUGGUAGGGCACUAGGUCUUAAAAUCGGACCAUUAAUAGACCCCUCCAUAGGAUUCAGUAAAAUUUAAUAUAAAAAUAUUAUUAGGAUUCACUUUUCUGCCAUAUGGAAGGCACUGAUUAGGGAUGGCAAAAUCCGGGUCUGGAUCCGGGUUUAGGCUUUUCAGUUCCGGACCCGGAUGGUAAUUUGAAAUACCGGACCCGGAUGGUAAUUUGAAAUACCGGACCCGGAUAUAAACCCGGAUAUUUUUACUCCGGAUCCGGUCCGGGUUCAACCCUGAAAAAUCCGGGUUUCCGGAUUCCAGGUUUAGAACCCCGGAUGCUUGCUAAACAGAUACGAUUUUCUCUCUCUCUCUACUGUGAAUUCCUCCUUACAACUUUAACCUAUUGCCAACACCAAUGGAAAAUAAUGCAAAAUCAAAUAACUAGAAAUAAAUUCAAAGGCAAUAGAGCAUACAAAAUUCAAUUUUCAAACAUAAUGAUGACAAAUUUUGCGAUGAUGAUGACAAAUUGGGCUUUGUGGGGUUAAGCCAAGAAAAGCCGAAAAGGGGAGGAAUGGGUUUUGGUCUUCAAAAUCACGUAUGCUGUUCAAGCCAUUGUUCUCAUCUCCACUCUUGCUUUCUUCUUCCUUUGCUGCGGCUGCACUUCUAAUCUCCUUUUCUUCUUCCUUUGGUGCUCUUUUUCCUUUGUUGUUUGGUUUUUUAUUUUGUAUUCUUUAAUUAAUUUUUUAUUCUUUCUUCAUCGAUCUUCAUCGCCUUUGAUGAUGAUGAACAUGAACACAGCAAAGUAGCGAAGCAAUGGUGAGUGGCGACGAUGAUUUGAUGAAGAGAAUGGCUGAACGGAGAGAAAAUGGUUUGGCUUGAUGAUGAUUUGAUGAAGAGAAGGGAGAGAGUGGAAAUGUUUGGUAGCGGCGGUGAAUUAGGGCAAGGCUAAAUUUUUUUUUUAAUUUUUCAAUUUAUAUUAAAUACAGAUGUCCGGGUCCGGGUUCUGGAUUUACGGGUUCACCCAAACCCAGAACCGGACCCGGAUACAUCCAGGUUGAUAAAAUUCAAUCCGGAUUCCGGAUUUAAUUUGUUUCGGUACGGGUUGAAUCCGGACCGGAUUUUCCGGGUUCGUCCGAGUCCGAUCCGGGUCCGGGUUAAAUUGUCAUCCCUAGCGCUGAUGAACAAUCCUAGCAUGAAACAACCCUACGGAAGUUUUUUCCCCAAUUCAGGCUAAACUUUCC
rnacentral:lncRNA from 1 species